CAUGGACAUGAAACUGAAGACUGGGGAGGCCUACUGCAGGGCCUGCAAAGCAAUCUAUAUCACCUCCAUCAACCAUUUAACAGAGCCCAUCGAUAUAUAUAGUGAAUGGCUCGAUGAAUGCGAACGGGUCAACGACAGUGAAGAUAACUCGAGAAAGAGGCCUCGCAUUGCUUAAGUUCACAAGAUUUCUAUGUUGUCUCUGAUGGAGCAUUUGUCAAUUAUUGAAACA